rnacentral:rRNA from 1 species
GAUGAACGCUGGCGGCGUGCCUAAUACAUGCAAGUCGAGCGGACAGAUGAGGAUCUUGCUCCUCUCACGUUAGCGGCGGACGGGUGAGUAACACGUGGAUAACCUACCUAUAAGACUGGGAUAACUUCGGGAAACCGGAGCUAAUACCGGAUAAUAUAUUGAACCGCAUGGUUCAAUAGUGAAAGACGGUUUUGCUGUCACUUCUAGAUGGAUCCGCGCCGCAUUAGCUAGUUGGUAAGGUAACGGCUUACCAAGGCAACAAUGCGUAGCCGACCGGAGAGGGGGAUCGGCCACACUAGAACUGGAACGCGGUCCAGACUCCUACGGGAAGCAGCAGUAGGGAAUGGUACGCAAUGGGCGGAAGCCUGGCGGAGCGACGCCGCGUGUGUGACGGAGGUCUUCGGAUCGUAAAACUCUGUUAUUAGGGAAGAACAAAUGUGUAAGUAACUAUGCACGGCUUGACGGUACCUAAUCAGAAAGCAACGGCUAACUACGUG